ensembl:lncRNA
UGUUGUUGUUGUUUGUUUGUUUGUUUUUAAAAAAAAUAUUAAUAUCUAUCUUAAAAUACUCCAUUUGACUCUUUAAACUUACGAAGCAAUCGGUCAAACCUAAUAACACGCAAAAUGUCUUCUUAGUAUAAAUUGAAUUCUUUUAUCUACUCCGUUUUCUUUGAAGGGUGUACAGACUUUUGCCCUCGACUAUAUUUCAAUUAAUGAUCGUAAAAUCAUGCGUCACAGGAUUGCAUGCACAUUGGAAAUUGUUUCUUCGUUCACUCACUUUGGCAUGCGCACAGCCAAAUAUAAUAACACAUUCAGUAUAUUAUUAAUAACUAGUAUAUUAUUAAUAUGGCAUGGAGUUACUAUUCUACACCAUGGACACCGAUUUUAAUCGGUAUGUAUUAAAUAUCAGAUUUUACUUUCUUCAAAGUAGCCUUCCCUCUGUUUGACUCAAUUGACCAUGAUGAAAAUAUUACAUUCAUUCAUUUUUAUGGUUUUAUUUAUUUAUUUAUUGAUUUAAUAUUAGUUCUUACAUUAGUGGUCCCAGUCCUCUCAUGAACAUAUAUUAUAAUGCAUUGUAAUGUAACCUCUUAUUAUGAAGUCUUGUUUGCUCGUUUUUUAUUAUAAGUGUUAUACAUGUAACUAUAUGUAUAUCUAUCUAUCUAUCUAUCUAUCUAUCUAUCUAUCUAUAUAUAUAAAUAAUAACUUUUAGGUCACCAGUUUUUCAAUGCAAUGUUUUAAUGUUACAGUGGAUUACGUUUAAUUUUUCCCCCCUUUAUUAAUAUGGAAUGUGAAUUCAGGCGUAGGCAUCAAGUAAAUUAAUUUCAAGCAGUAAUAUUUUGAUCAAAAUGCCCUUAAGGUAAUGAAACGGAGGGAGCAGAGACAUUAUUCUGACCUUCAGACGAGUGGACGACUGUAAACGGAGAUGAUAGAUUGUCGUCUGUGUCAGGAUUUUUUGCUGCUGAUGUGUGGAUUUAGCACAGUGCUAGCGGGCAGCAGACACUGUCAUUUACAUAACGUCUUAUAUAACGCUCCUUUCUGUGACGCUGAAGGAAGCCGAACUGCUUUUUAGAAGCUGAUAAAAGACACACAACUCCUGGUUUUGUGAUCACAGUACACCCUAUAUAAAGAUUUAAAUUUACUGGAUACAUUUAUUUGUGAGUCCAAUUAUAGUACGUUUUUCAUUACUGUACUUUGAGAAGAUUCUGGACUCUGAUUGGUCAGAACGUGUUGGAUCUUUUCUAUAACGGCAUCAGCAAAUACAUUUUCUGAGACGGGAAAGUCUUCGGGAUGGAGGAGGUGUCACGUUGCGGUUUAUCAAUAACUUGGCAAGCUGGUUUCUGUAGUAACAAUUUACACUCCACAUAAAAAGAUUACAAAAACAGUUGUUGAGGCUCCAGUGUUACGGUUUGAUUAUGAAUAGUGUUUAUUGGACACGUUUCCAAAAUUGUUGCUUAAAACUGGUUUAGUUCACUAAUGUCUCAAUGCAGUGUUAUAGUGCAUUACAAUGUCCUUAUGAACAGGUAUUAUAAUGCAUUAUAACUUAACGUGAGAAGUCAUGCUCUGUAUUGAUUCUUUAUCAAGUGUUUUGCAUGCAACACUAACUAUUUAUGAGCAGUUACAUAAGCCUGUUAUGCAGUGUUAUAGUGCAUUACAAUGUCCUUAUGAACAGGUGUUAUAAUGCAUUAUAACUUAACGUGAGAAGUCAUGCUCUGUAGUCAUUCUUUAUCGAGUGUUUUGCAUGUAACAACAGCUAGUUAUGAGCAACUCCACAAGCUUAUACCAGGCAUUAUAAGGUGUCAUAUACGCUAUAUAACAUUUCAUAAAUGCAUAUCUUAUGAAUACAGGAUUCCAAAGAAAUGGUUCCAAAAUGUGUUGGUUAAAAAAAUGUUUCAUCAGUUUCAAGUGUAACGUGAUUGGGCAUCACAGUGUCUUUAUUGUGUUAUAACACAUUAUAAUGUAACCUGACAUUAUGAAGUCAUACCGUAUACCUCUGCUUUAUAAGGCGUUAUGCAUGUAACUAUAUCUGUUUACGAGCAAUUACACAGGCUUGGUCCAGGCAUUAUAAGGUGUUAUGUAUGCUGUAUAACAUGUUAUAAAAUGGAUGUUAUGAUUACAGAAUUCAAAGGAAGUCUUCUGAAAGGAGACGUUUAUUUUGUAUUUUUCGAAGGAGUUUAUAUUUUAGAGAGAGAGAGAGAGAGAAAGUAGAGCGACUGGUGUUUUAUUUCUUCGUAUUAUUUAGUUAAUAAUUAAUAUGUUGAUUACUGCAAUUCUAUAUAGUUUUACUAAUGCUAAAGCACGUAGUUUAAUUAUUAAUCAUAAAACCGUUCAUAUAAAUCAUUACCCAUUGACCUUCAGGUCAUUCUGUCAGCCUGUACACUGAAAAAUAUGACUUACACACACACACACACACACACACACACACACACACACAUAUAUAUAUAUGGAGUGACAAUUUGUCCAACAGUCACUAAUCAUCAUUUUGAUGCUGGCUGUAGUCCAAAUGGAGAUCUGAUGAAGCCUAUUCCACGGUCCAACUCUUGUCCAACCCCCACCCCCUCCUCAGGGUCUGAUUAGUCUCCUGAAUAAUUCUGGAAAAGGGCACAGUGACGACAAGCUCAGAGCUGCUUGAAGUGCAGAGCUGCGGCAGUGUAGCGAAGGGUUUGUGUGGUCCUGCGAUCAGAUUACAAACUACACCAGCUGCUGCGCAACGAGGCUCCGGCACACGCUGAUUGAAAACGGCCGCAGGUUCGCUCCGAAGACUUCCUGUAUGGUUGAGCGGCUUUGUUUUGGUAUAGCUUGAAGGUUAGGAAGAGAAACUGAUAACACUGUAACACUUGCUAUGAAAGUCGUAGUGUAGUUAUAAUAAACCACGAGCAUAUUCAUAUGAUGUUACAAAUCAAAGAAAUCAUCCGUAAGACACAUUGUUUCAAGUACUCAUGAAAAUAUGUUACAGCUGUUUGUAAAUAUAGCUAUAAUGUAGCUAUGAUAACACUUUCUUUGAAGGUCAUAUCUGUAAUAAGCUAUGAGCGCAAUCAUACGUUAUAAUGCAUUUGUA